UUGCAUUCAAAUGGAACUUUAUUGGUUUGUUCAAGCGUGCCCAUAUUACUUUUCAAGUAUGCUAAAUCAUUUUAAGAUCUUAGUAACUAUGACCACGCUAAAUUAUUUUAAGAUCUUAGUAACUCUGACCAUCUGGAGCCAGGACUUUGGGAUGCAACUUAUUGGGAAUGCUUGCUCGAGCUGAAUUACUUGACUUUCGUUUCAUGUAAAACUCUUUAGAUAUGUUAAGAUAUAUGGAAAAAUACACCCUUCAAUGUUAACCUUUAG
rnacentral:lncRNA from 1 species